rnacentral:rRNA from 1 species
AUUGAACGCUGGCGGCAUGCCUAACACAUGCAAGUCGAGCGAGCGGCGGACGGGUGCGUAAUGUCUGGGAAACUGCCUGAUGGAGGGGGAUAACUACUGGAAACGGUAGCUAAUCCCGCAUACCAUCAGAUGUGCCCAGAUGGGAUUAGCUGGUAGGUGGGGUAACGGCUCACCUAGGCGACGAUCCCUAGCUGGUCUGAGAGGAUGACCAGCCACACUGGAACUGAGACACGGUCCAGACUCCUACGGGAGGCAGCAGUGGGGAAUAUUGCACAAUGGGCGCAAGCCUGAUACAGCCAUGCCGCGUGUGUGAAGAAGGCCUUCGGGUUGUAAAGCACUUUCAGCGGGGAGGCGGUACCCGCCGAAGAAGCACCGGCUAACUCCGUGCCAGCAGCCGCGGUAAUAC